UACGUAGGGUGCAAGCGUUGUCCGGAAUUAUUGGGCGUAAAGAGCUCGUAGGCGGUCUGUUGCGUCGGCUGUGAAAACCCGGGGCUCAACUCCGGGCCUGCAGCCGAUACGGGCAGACUAGAGUUCGGCAGGGGAGACUGGAAUUCCUGGUGUAGCGGUGAAAUGCGCAGAUAUCAGGAGGAACACCGGUGGCGAAGGCGGAUCUCUGGGCCUUACCUGACGCUGAGGCGCGAAAGCUAGGGGAGCAAACAGG
rnacentral:rRNA from 1 species